rnacentral:rRNA from 1 species
UACGGGGGGGGCAAGCGUUGUUCGGAAUUACUGGGCGUAAAGGGCUCGUAGGCGGCCAACUAAGUCGGACGUGAAAUCCCUCGGCUCAACCGGGGAACUGCGUCCGAUACUGGAUGGCUUGAGUUCGGGAGAGGGAUGCGGAAUUCCAGGUGUAGCGGUGAAAUGCGUAGAUAUCUGGAGGAACACCGGUGGCGAAGGCGGCAUCCUGGACCGACACUGACGCUGAGGGGCGAAAGCCAGGGGAGCAAACGGG